UAUUAUUAUGUAAUUAAUAAUAAUUUUUAUUGUUAAUUUAUUUUAUUAUUAAUUUAUUUUACAUAUAAAUUUUAGUGUGAUUUUUUUUAUAUUUAAAUAAUAUAAGAAAUUAAUUAAUUAUAGUAAUUAAUAUUAAAUAUUUAAGAAAUUAAGAUUUAGUAAUAUUAAAAUUAAAAGUUAAUUUUGUGCCAGCAACUGCGGUUAAACAAAAUUUAAAUUAAAAUUUAUUAGUUUAUUAAUUAAUAAUAAAAUAUAAAAAAUUAAAUGUUAAAUUAUUAAGUGAAAUUUUAAUUUAAUAUAAAUUUUUUUAGGGUUUAUGAUUUUUAAUAAAUUUUUAUGAAAAACUAGGAUUAGAUACCCUAUUAUUAAAAAUUUAAAUUAAAAUACUAAAGUAGUAAAUAAUUAUUUAUUGAAAUUUAAAUAAUUUGGCGGUAUUUUAGUUCAUUUAGAGGAAUCUGUUUAAUAAUUGAUAAUCCACGAUUAAAUUUACUUAGUUUUUAUAUUUUGUAUAUCGUUGUUAAAAAAAUAUUUUUUAAAAAUAAAAUAAUAUUUAAAAAUUAUUAUGAUAAAUUAAAUCAAAUCAAGAUGCAGAUAAUAAUUAAGAAUAUAAUGGAUUACAAUAAAUUUAUUUAUAUGGAUAUUAUUUUGUAAUAAAUAAUUUAAAGUGGAUUUAAAUGUAAUUUUAUUUAAUAUAAUAAAAUGAUUUAAAAUUAAAAUAUGUACAUAUUGCCCGUCGCUUUCAUAAAUAAGUUGAAAUAAGUCGUAACAAAGUAGAGGUACUGGAAAGUGUUUCUAGAAAGAU
rnacentral:ncRNA from 1 species